UGUUGUAAAAACAAAGAAAGUAGAACUGAAUUCUACAAACCACUCUGUUAUACUAACAGACGUGCGGAACAAAGAAGAGCUGUAAGACGUACAGAGAACAAGAACUUUUACUGAAUAAUACUUUACUCUUUUAUUUCUCUGAUUCUCUAGUUCUUCUAGUUCAACUUUUCUCAGAAUGAGAUUACAUCACUUAUAUAGAAAACUAGAAAUGUAACUUACUCCCAUUACCCCAUGGACUCAUUAUUGUCCUACAUUAAACAUAAUUUGAAACCCCCAAAUUAAUACUAAAACCAAAACUGACAAAUACUUAAUCUCUCACAUUUAUUCUCUUUGACCAAGCAUUGAAUCACAUUUCAACA
rnacentral:lncRNA from 1 species